CCUACGGGUGGCAGCAGUCGAGAAUCAUUCACAAUGGGGGAAACCCUGAUGGUGCGACGCCGCGUGGGGGAAUGAAGGUCUUCGGAUUGUAAACCCCUGUCAUGUGGGAGCAAAUUAAAAAGAUAGUACCACAAGAGGAAGAGACGGCUAACGCUGUGCAAGCAGCCGCGGUAAUACAGAGGUCUCAAGCGUUGUUCGGAAUCACUGGGCGUAAAGCGUGCGGAGGCUGUUUCGUAAGUCGUGUGUGAAAGGCGCGGGCUCAACCCGCGGACGGCACAUGAUACUGGGAGACUAGAGGAAUGGAGGGGGAACCGGAAUUCUCGGUGUAGCAGUGAAAUGCGUAGAUAUCGAGAGGAACACUCGUGGCGAAGGCGGGUUCCUGGACAUUAACUGACGCUGAGGCACGAAGGCCAGGGGAGCGAAAGGGAUUAGAUACCCCGGUAGUC
rnacentral:rRNA from 1 species